GCCGGGGUGGUUGAGAUCACCAGGUAGGGCUUACAUCUCCUCCAAACAACCACCAUCACCAAUGCACUUCUCUUGCUCAUCCUUCAAGGAUAUCAAUACCCUUCUCCUAGAAGAACCUCAAAAUGAAUCCAAAUCCGAAACCCAAUCUCCCAGAAGACCCAGCAUUUUCCACCGGGUCCGAAUCGCCACUUCACUCCUCCACCACCGCCG
rnacentral:misc_RNA from 1 species